rnacentral:rRNA from 1 species
AUUGAACGCUGGCGGCAUGCUUUACACAUGCAAGUCGAACGGUAACAGGCCGCAAGGUGCUGACGAGUGGCGAACGGGUGAGUGAUGCAUCGGAACGUGCCCAGUCGUGGGGGAUAACGCAGCGAAAGCUGUGCUAAUACCGCAUACGAUCUGUGGAUGAAAGCGGGGGACCGAAAGGCCUCGCGCGAUUGGAGCGGCCGAUGUCAGAUUAGGUAGUUGGUGGGGUAAAGGCUCACCAAGCCAACGAUCUGUAGCUGGUCUGAGAGGACGACCAGCCACACUGGGACUGAGAAACGGCCCGGACUCCUACGGGAGGCAGCAGUGGGGAAUUUUGGACAAUGGGCGCAAGCCUGAUCCAGCAAUGCCGCGUGCAGGAAGAAGGCCUUCGGGUUGUAAACUGCUUUUGUACGGAGCGAAAAGGCUCUCUCUAAUACAGGGGGCUCAUGACGGUACCGUAAGAAUAAGCACCGGCUAACUACGUGCCAGCAGCCGCCGUAAUAC